UUUCAGUUCUGAAAUCAGCCUACAAAUAUUUCACUACAUUAACAUCAAUCUGGUGAUCAUUUAAUAAAUAAAGGAAUGUGUGUAUAUAUAUACAUAUAUAUAUAUAUACCUUUAUAAAAAUAAGUUUGAUAUAUUUAGGAUUCCCAACAAUAACAGCAGUAAACCUGAUUCCCCAAGGGUCAUAUGCUUUGGGUCUUACACAGAUCACUAGCAACAAAACAAGUUCUUUUACAGGAAAAACAAAAACAAAAACAAAAAAAAAAAACUCACAAUUUUUACAAACUUAAAUACUAUCUAAAUCUGCAAUCUGGUAUAGGAAACAAUAUGAAAUAUCACUAAUAUCAGUGCUGACAACUGGUGUCAUACUAAAAGACACAAUUUCCAGUUAGAAAUAGGGCAAACAAGGAUGACUGUUUCAUUGGACGUUGAAGGGUGCUAAUCGACAUCACCAUCACAAGAAUUCAAUGAAACACUGGAUUCAAGAAAUUUAACACAUGCGGUUAAUUAAGUUGACAUUACAGUAAAACCAUUAUAUUUUUUAAAAUAUACAUUAAACAUAUGGUCAAUAACUCCAUUAGCUGCCAAAUAUAGAGAACUGGUAUAUAAUGCAAACCAUACUCAGAAACACAGCUGUUCGAAAAGCCUAAAUUGGAACCAGUCUAUAUUCCACAGGACAGGGCAUCGACAAGGCAUUUAAUAGCAAAACAGUCAGAAGAAUGCAAUAUUCAGGAACAAGGCUGAUUUAUACCAGAUACUAUACAGCAAACUGAUUAACACCCAAUACCAAUUAAAAGCACUGUAUCACAUCCGGAAAAGAAAAAGAAUUCCAUUAUCUAUAGAUAAGAGGCAGAGUUCUGAAAUUUACAAACUGCCCCCCAAACAAGGUACUUUUGUACAACUGUGACACAUUACAAUGUACACCCAUAUUGUAGGAGCUUUGACAUCUUAAGCUUUUAACCCUAACACUUUGUAAGAUAACAGCUGAAUUUAUAGUUAGAUCAGCCAGUUUCAAAAUCCACCAAUAAGUAUGAACCAGCAGGAGAGAUGUCCUUUUUCUGAAGAUCUGUUUAAGUAAAGAUGGGGCAGGGGAACAUCAGACUGAGCUGAAAUGAAGUAAUUAAAGCUUAUCUCUGACCUUUCUAAGAGCAAGGCAAAACUCGCAUUUGGGAAAUCCUGUUGCAAAAAAGGCAGAUUUACUACUCCCCACCCACAUCAAUGGGAUUGGGGUUGGAACCUAAAGCAGAAAGGAGGUGGGAGACUAGAGGGAAGUUGAGGAAAUAGCAACAGAACUUUGUAUGGAAAAAUAUAUUUCAACACAUCAAGGGAAUACACUAAGACAUCAUGUGCACACAAUGGGACAAGCCAAAA
rnacentral:lncRNA from 1 species